rnacentral:rRNA from 1 species
UACGUAGGGUGCGAGCGUUAAUCGGAAUUACUGGGCGUAAAGCGUGCGCAGGCGGUUUAGUAAGACAGGCGUGAAAUCCCCGGGCUCAACCUGGGAACUGCGCUUGUGACUGCUAAGCUAGAGUACGGCAGAGGGGGGUGGAAUUCCACGUGUAGCAGUGAAAUGCGUAGAGAUGUGGAGGAACACCGAUGGCGAAGGCAGCCCCCUGGGCCGAUACUGACGCUCAUGCACGAAAGCGUGGGUAGCAAACAGGAUUAGAUACCCUGGUAGUCCACGCCCUAAACGAUGUCAACUAGGUGUUGGGUGGGUAAAACCAUUUAGUACCGUAGCUAACGCGUGAAGUUGACCGCCUGGGGAGUACGGCCGCAAGGUUAAAACUCAAAGGAAUUGACGGGGACCCGCACAAGCGGUGGAUGAUGUGGAUUAAUUCGAUGCAACGCGAAAAACCUUACCUACCCUUGACAUGUCCAGAAGCCCGAAGAGAUUUGGGUGUGCCCGAAAGGGAGCUGGAACACAGGUGCUGCAUGGCUGUCGUCAGCUCGUGUCGUGAGAUGUUGGGUUAAGUCCCGCAACGAGCGCAACCCUUGUCGUUAAUUGCCAUCAUUUAGUUGGGCACUUUAACGAGACUGCCGGUGACAAACCGGAGGAAGGUGGGGAUGACGUCAAGUCCUCAUGGCCCUUAUGGGUAGGGCUUCGCACGUCAUACAAUGGUCGGUACAGAGGGUUGCCAAGCCGCGAGGUGGAGCCAAUCCCAGAAAGCCGAUCGUAGUCCGGAUUGCAGGCUGCAACUCGCCUGCAUGAAGUCGGAAUCGCUAGUAAUCGCGGAUCAGCAUGUCGCGGUGAAUACGUUCCCGGGUCU